AGCGCUCUUGGAAGGAGUACAUCACUAGCACACAGUCCACAGCAUUUUCAAGAGGCAGAUGAUCAGCAACUGUAAAACAGGACUCUAGAGCAAGCACAGAGUGCUAUCCACAAGGGCAAACUCAUUCAUCUGGCAGAAGUGACUCAACAGGAAGGAUGGAAUAUUGAGCUAGAUUAUAAAGAUGUCAUCGUCAUGAUGGAGGAUGAACUUGACAGUCUCGGGUCAAAGGUCAAGAAAAUGCCCAGAAAUAUACUGCCAGAACAAGUGCUAUAAUAACAAGAGAGAGUGCUAGGAGAGGGACAGAUGGAUUCAGAAACAACUCUUCCCCGGAGGCUAAGGAGACGGUGAAGGCUGUGAAAGCACUGGUUGAACGUAAGUCAAGAGCAUGCUUCCUGCUAUACAGCCAGUAGACUUGAUUACCCUGCAUUAAUCUUAACU